CCAUUAGGGCGAUAUAUGUAUAGAGACUUUUAUAUUGACACAUUCAGAAAGAAUAGGACCUUUUAUUUUGAUACCGUUUCCUGUAUUUUCCUUACCACUUCCUGCCUUGUCAUCAGUUACUUCACAUUUAGUUCCUAUCUGCUGAAAACGGUUUCUACUUAAAUAAUUCCUCUCUGUGAACGAUGCUAGAAGCAAAGUCGUAAGUAAAUGCAUUGUUAAGUUAAAUUAUUGAUAGUUUAAGUUAAGUUUAUAGUAGAAAGAGAAGGUAAUAAAUAGGUUAAAAAGACCGUUUUAUUUACAUGUAUUUACAAUGAGAUUUCAUGAGACUUCAUGUGAAGCUGAACUUUAUGUUAAAAACAGUCAAACUUUAUUUUGUUGCAGUUUUCACUCUGCCAUGUAAUGCUGGAUCUUCAAGUAAACAACAGUGAAAUGUUAACUACAGAACAGACUCCUGGUUAUUGCAUCAGAGUUUAACUUGUUGGAUAGCUUCAGUUAAUACACUACAGUGAGGACAACAUAGUGAAAAGACUGAGAAGUUAGCAUUGAACAUCAAGUCAAGAUGGAAACUAGAUCUAAUAAAUCAAGUAGAAGUGGAAGCAGCUUUCAUUCAUCUACCUCAUCAACCAAUGCUUUAUUUCACGCACGAGCAAAAGCAGCAGCUGCAAAAGUGCGCGCCGAAUAUGCUGAGCAAGAAGCCAAAGCUAGGAUAGAAAAAGUUAAAAAAGAGACUGAAAUUGAAACACUAGCCAUCUGCCGUGAAGCAGCAGAAGCUGAAGCCGUAGCAGCUGUCUGGGAGUCAGCAGUUACAGGGAGAAAAAAAUGUAUUGUGCUGGAUGAAACAAACGCAACAGAGCAAAGCAAACUUGAACGAACAAGUGAAUACAUCCAAACUCACUUCCAUUCCACUAAUCCUGUCCAACAAACAACCACCUAUGCCACUCUCAGUUAUAGCCCGAACAACCCCUUUGUUUCACACCACCAGCCGCCUGUGUUUUUAUAUGAGAGCACUAACAAUGUGGAAUUUACAGACUUUGACUUGGACUAUUCACCGCCAGCGGCCAAACAUUCAGUCAGCCAGAAUCCAUUUACCAGAGAAGGGCCCCGGGUUAUUCCCAAGAGUCUCACCUCACAGAUCAGUGACUUGAAUAUCGAGGCUCCAUCCUUCAACCCCCAGCCGAAAAAUACUCAAAGUAUGCUUGCAACUGAACACCUGGCACAAUAUUUAGCUCGGCGUGACCUAGUGAAUACGAGUCUGUACGAGUUUGACGAUAAACCUGAAAAUUAUCGUGCUUGGCUGUCGUCAUACAAAAAUGCCACUCAAGGACUUGGUCUCACAGCCACUGAGGAAUUGGAUUUGAUGACACGAUGGCUUGGAAAAGAAUCCAGCAACCAGGUGAAACGCCUCCGUGCAGUGCACAUUGCAAGCCCACAGACAGCACUGGUGAAAGCCUGGGAACGUCUUCAACAGUGUUAUGCAGCCCCAGAGGUGAUUGAAAAGGCCCUCUUCACCCGACUGGACGCAUUUCCCAGAGUCUCAGCCAAAGAAAAUCUGAAGCUACGAGAGCUGUCUGAUCUGCUUAUGGAAGUGCAGUGUGCCAAGGAAGAUGGCUACUUACCAGGCCUGUCCUACCUGGACACGACGCGUGGAAUUGAGCCUAUAGUGACAAAGCUGCCUUAUGGACUCCAGGAAAGAUGGGUCUCAGUCGGUUCUAAGUAUAAAGAAGAAAAUAGAGGACGGUUCCCACCGUUCGAUUACUUCACGAAAUUCAUAUGUUAUGAGGCCAAGAAAAGAAAUGACCCCAGCUUUGCCCUUUUAAAUACCACUACAACAUCAUCUGUCAGAGCUGAAAGUGCCUUUCCUAAAACCCAGAAACCCAUUGCAGUUCACAAGAUCAAUGUCACUCCCGCAGAGGCAAAUGUCUCUAGUGAUCCGAGUAAGAUCUGCCCAUUACAUGCAAAACCCCACCCACUGAAGAAGUGCAAAGCCUUCAGAGCCGAAACCCUUGAUGACAGAAAGGUAUUUCUGAAAGAAAACGGAAUCUGCUUCAAGUGCUGUAGCUCCACCAACCAUAUGGCAAAGAACUGCACUACAAUUGUGAAGUGUUUUGAGUGUGACAGCACCCAACAUGUCUCAGCUAUGCACCCGGGACCAGCACCGCUACCUACAACUCCUCUGACCUCGCCACAGCAUGGCGGGGAGGGAGAAGCGGUAAACGACACCAGUGAGAUUAGCUCAAGCUGCACAGCAGUAUGCGGCACAGGACAAGUCGGACGGUCGUGCUCCAAGAUAUGCCUGGCAAGAGUGUACCAGAAAGACCACCCAGACGAAGUCAUCAAGGCCUACAUCGUGUUAGACGACCACAGUAACCGCUCGCUGGCCAAGUCUAGUUUCUUUGACAAGUUUGACAUUCACACUAAGUCAUAUCCUUACCAACUGAAAACGUGUUCUGGUGUAGUGGAAACGUCUGGCAGAAGGGCAUCGGAUUUUUUCGUGGAGUCCCUAAAUGGAAAAGUUACAAUCCCCUUACCACCACUCACUGAGUGUAAUGACUUACCUGACAAUAGGUCCGAAAUUCCCACACCAAAUGCCGCUCUUCAUCAGCCUCACCUGUCAAAGGUAGCAGAACACAUCCCAGAGCUGGACCCCACAGCUGAGAUCCUCCUGCUACUAGGGAGAGACACAAUCAGAGCACACAAAGUACGGGAACAAAUAAAUGGCCCUGCCAAUGCACCCUUCGCUCAGCGCCUUGACUUGGGCUGGGUGCUGGUAGGAGAAGUCUGCUUAGGGAACACACACAAGCCGAAUGUCAGUUCUUUCCGGACGACCAUGGUUGACUGUCAUCGGCCCUCACUCUUUCAGCCAUGCACAAGCAAUUUGCACAUUAAAGAGGAACUUCACGACAGCACCUUACCACCCAGAGCUAAGGAAGACAGUCUGGGUCAAAACGUGUUUGACUGCACUGAACAGGAUAAUAAGCUAGCACCUUCAAUCGAAGAUGAAACUUUCCUAAAAAUCAUGGACAAAGAAGUCUACAGAAACCAUUUACACAGCUGGGUUGCUCCAUUGCCGUUCAGACAACCAAGGCAACAGCUUCCCAACAAUCGCGAGCAAGCCCUCAAGCGGUUUGAAUCACUCCAACGCCAAUUCAGAAGAAAGCCAGAAAUGCAAAAGCAAUACUUGGAAUUCAUGGACAAACUGCUGAAAAACAACCAUGCUGAGGUGGCACCAGAGCUAAGAGAAGAAGAGCGCUGGUAUUUACCAAGCUUUGCAGUGUAUCACCCACAGAAACCCGAUCAAAUCAGGGUUGUGUUUGAUUCAAGUGCCCAACAGUCUGGAAUCUCCUUGAAUAAUGUGCUCUUGACAGGACCGGAUCUGAACAACACCCUUCUAGGAGUGCUCAUGCGGUUCCGAAAAGACAAGGUCGCUGUGAUGGCGGACAUUCAACAAAUGUUCUAUUGCUUCCUUGUGGCCGAAAGGCACAGAAACUACCUGCGAUUCCUAUGGUUCAAAGACAACAACGUAGCCAACGAGGUAAUUGACUACAGAAUGAAAGUUCAUGUUUUUGGAAACAGCCCAUCUCCUGCAGUGGCAAUCUAUGGGCUCAGAAGAGCCAUCAGAGAUGGCGCAGAGAAAUAUGGAGCAGACACAGUCAACUUCGUCGAACGGCACUUUUAUGUUGAUGAUGGCCUCUGUUCUGUCCCAACUGAUGCAGAGGCUAUUGGGCUGCUCCAUAGGACUCAAGCCUCACUUGCUGAGUCUAACCUGAGGCUCCACAAAUUUGCCUCAAACAGUCAGGCUGUCUUGGAAGCCUUCCCAAGCGAGGACUGCAUACAAGCCAAAAAGGAGGUAGACCUCAGCGGAGAUGAGUCACCCACCCAACGCAGCUUGGGGCUCCUGUGGGAAAUAGCAAGCGACACAUUCACCUUCUCUGUGUCAACUGACACCAAACCAUUCACCCGUCGAGGGGUUCUUUCCAUGGUGAACAGUGUCUUUGACCCUUUAGGGUUUCUGGCUCCAGUUACGAUCCAAGGCAGGGACCUUCUCAGAGAUUUGAAUUCCGAGACAUCGGAGUGGGACACCCCAUUGCCUGAAGAUAAGUUACGCAAGUGGGAGGCUUGGAGAAACUCGCUUCAAGACUUAAGGCACUUUCACAUAUCUAGGAUGUACACAGGCAUCUGUCCAACCAAGGCUGAGCGAGUAGAACUCCACGUCUUUAGCGAUGCAUCUGUGAAGGCCAUUGGCGCCGUGGCCUAUUUGAGAGCCAUCCAAGGAGACACAGUAGACGUUGGAUUUGUCAUGGCAAAGGCCAAACUUGCUCCUCAAUCAGAUCCAACCAUUCCCAGACUUGAACUGUGUGCAGCAGUCUUAGCAGUGGAAAUAGCUGAGCGGAUUCAGGAUGAAUUAGAUCUAAAGCUGGACGCCACCAAGUUCUACACUGAUAGCAAGGUUGUCCUUGGAUACAUUUACAACCAGUCCAGACGGUUCUAUGUGUACGUCCACAAUCGUGUCCUGCGUAUACGCCAAUCUACCAUCCCUGAACAAUGGCACUACGUGAACACCGAAGACAAUCCGGCUGAUCUGGCAUCACGGUCGGUUCCAGCAGCACGCCUCACACAGACGAGGUGGUUCAACGGACCAACCUUCCUGCGCAAGCUGUCCGUUCAGCCAGACCUAGCUCAGUCAUUCAGCUUAGUCUCUCCGGAGUCCGAUGCAGAGGUCCGUCCAGUUGUGAAGAGCUACAUCACCGAUCUGCAAGGGAAAGUUCUCAGCACAGAGCGCUUUGAAAGGUUCUCCACAUUCGACACUCUCCAACGAGCCAUCGCACUCCUGAUUCAUAUAGCAAGAUCCUUCAAGACUCCGACAGGCAAGUGUAAGGGAUGGCAUCGCUGUGGCUUACCUCACUCAGUUGAUGAGCUUUCACAAGCAAGAGAAGUCAUAAUCAGAGCUGUUCAGAGGAAUACGUUUGUGAAGGAAUUUGAAGCUCUGGAGAGAGGAAAGCAAGUUCCGUUAAACAGCUGCCUACGCUCCCUCAACCCGAUCUUACAGGCUGACCUCCUCCGCCUUGGAGGCAGACUGAAGAAUGCGGAUGUGGCCAUUGAACAAAAUAACCCUGUCAUUCUCCCAAAAGAACACCACGUUUCCUUGCUUCUUACCAGAUAUCAUCAUGCCCAAGUAAAGCAUCAGGGCCGUCAUCUAACAGAAGGUGCUGUACGAGCUGCUGGACUCUGGAUCCUGGGAGGCAAGCGGCUUGUGAACUCAACUAUUCACAAGUGCAUCACCUGUCGCAGACUUAGAGGACGGAUGCAAGAACAACAAAUGGCAGAUUUGCCCGCAGAGCGCCUUACAACCUGCCCUCCCUUCACAUACGUAGGCCUAGAUGUUUUCGGACCCUGGCACGUCUCCACCAGACGCACCAGAGGGACGCAACCUGAGAGCAAGUGCUGGGCCAUACUAUUCUGCUGCAUGAGCUCCAGAGCAGUUCACGUUGAGGUGAUUACCUCGAUGGACACCUCAAGCUGCAUAAACGCGUUGAGGCGUUUCUUUGCCAUAAGAGGACCAGCCAAACAACUGAGGUCAGACUGUGGCACGAAUUUCAUUGGGGCCUGUAAAGAACUCGGGCUGAGUGCAGACCAACCGGACAGCACGGUGCAGAGGUACCUGCACCAACAAGGAUGCUCCUGGGUGUUUAACCCGCCUCAUGCCUCACACAUGGGGGGUUCAUGGGAGCGCCUCAUUGGGGUAGCCCGAAGAAUCCUGGAUUCAAUGCUACGUGAUCACAGCACUCGCCUAACUCAUGAAGUUCUGUGCACACUAAUGGCGGAAGUGACCGCAAUUCUGAAUGCAAGACCGCUAGUUCCAGUAUCGAAUGAUCCAGAGAAUCCAUACAUCCUUACACCAUCGAUGCUGUUAACGCAGAAAGUUGGGGUCCCACCACCUCCAGGUGACUUCACAGACAGGGACCUCCUCACUAAGCAGUGGAGACAAGUACAAGCCCUAUCCAACUUGUUCUGGAAUCGUUGGAGACAAGCGUACCUGUCAACCCUACAAAGCCGCAAGAAAUGGACAAGGUCCCACCAGAACCUGCAAGACGGUGACCUCGUCCUUCUCAAAGACAACCAAGCUGCCCGCAACAACUGGCCUUUGGCAGUGGUCACAAAGGCUAUUCCAGGAACAGAUGGAAGAGUCCGUAAGGUGGAAUUGAGGACAGCAAACCAAGGACAAUCAAAGACUUACCUUAGACCAGUGACCGAAACUGUUUUGCUUCUCCGUAAGGACUGAUGUUUCUGAUGUAGUUCUUGAUUGAGUUAAAUGUUUAUCCUAGUGUAGUGACCUCACAGUGGUCAGGCGGGGAGUGUGUCGCCAUUAGGGCGAUAUAUGUAUAGAGACUUUUAUAUUGACACAUUCAGAAAGAAUAGGACCUUUUAUUUUGAUACCGUUUCCUGUAUUUUCCUUACCACUUCCUGCCUUGUCAUCAGUUACUUCACAUUUAGUUCCUAUCUGCUGAAAACGGUUUCUACUUAAAUAAUUCCUCUCUGUGAACGAUGCUAGAAGCAAAGUCUUUUCACUCUGCCAUGUAAUGCUGGAUCUUCAAGUAAACAACAGUGAAAUGUUAACUACA